UGGGGAAUAUUGCACAAUGGAGGAAACUCUGAUGCAGCGACGCCGCGUGAAUGAUGAAGGCCUUCGGGUUGUAAAGUUCUGUCCUUGGGGAAGAUAAUGACGGUACCCAAGGAGGAAGCCCCGGCUAACUACGUGCCAGCAGCCGCGGUAAUACGUAGGGGGCGAGCGUUGUCCGGAAUUAUUGGGCGUAAAGGGUUCGCAGGCGGUCUGAUAAGUCAGAUGUGAAAGGCGUAGGCUCAACCUACGUAAGCAUUUGAAACUGUCAGACUUGAGUUAAGGAGAGGAAAGUGGAAUUCCUAGUGUAGCGGUGAAAUGCGUAGAUAUUAGGAGGAACACCGGUGGCGAAGGCGGCUUUCUGGCCAGUUACUGACGCUCAUGCGCGAAAGCUGGGGUAGCGAACC
rnacentral:rRNA from 2 species